rnacentral:rRNA from 1 species
UACGUAGGGUGCAAGCGUUAAUCGGAAUUACUGGGCGUAAAGCGUGCGCAGGCGGCUAUGCAAGACAGAUGUGAAAUCCCCGGGCUCAACCUGGGAACUGCAUUUGUGACUGCAUGGCUAGAGUACGGUAGAGGGGAUGGAAUUCCGCGUGUAGCAGUGAAUGCGUAGAUAUGCGGAGGAACACCGAUGGCGAAGGCAAUCCCUGGACCUGUACUGACGCUCAUGCACGAAAGCGUGGGAGCAAACAGG